AGAUGCGAUCAUACCAACGUUAAUGCAAUGAAUCCCAUCAGAACUUUGUAGUUAAGCGCGCUUGGGCUAGAGUAGUACUGGGAUGUGUGACCUCCCGGGAAGUCCUAGUGUUGCACCCU
rfam:Picea glauca, whole genome shotgun sequence.